GCAUAGAUAGCAAGAGGUCUAGAUAUUGACUCAUCAUUUUCUGCGCCAUUGCUGUUACGAAGGGAGAAAAAUCAAGUCCACAGAAAGCUGCAAAAGCCUAGUGAAGAAAUUCAGUAUUCUUCCCAUCUGAUGGCUCAAGUUCCUUUCAGUGGAAAACCAGCAUCCCCAAAUUUAAAAUCUAAAGAGAAAAAUGAGGAUCGCCCAGGAUGCCUGUGUUUAGAGGCUGUAAAGCGGACAACAGCAAGAUAUAAUCAGUGCAAUGUCAGCCUCACGGAAGAGUCAAAACUGAUUUCAUUUUCAUUACAAGUUCUCGUCAAAGAAGAGGAUAACUACCGAUUAAAAUAACUCUCCACCUCUAGAAUCACAGAGCACCCAGUAGUCCAUUUUAUUUAAUAAGUUCAUGGAGUCAGCUUUCUUUUCAAUUCAUAAGAAUGUGACAGUGUUACAGAAUGCCUGCUGAGAUUAUUGCCCUCACAU